UACGUAGGGAGCAAGCGUUGUCCGGAAUCAUUGGGCGUAAAGAGCGUGUAGGCGGUCCGGUAAGUCCGUUGUGAAAGUCGAGGGCUCAACCCUCGAAUGCCGGCGGAUACUGUCGGGCUAGAGUGCGGAAGAGGCGAGUGGAAUUCCUGGUGUAGCGGUGAAAUGCGCAGAUAUCAGGAGGAACACCUAUUGCGAAGGCAGCUCGCUGGGACGUAACUGACGCUGAGACGCGAAAGCGUGGGGAGCAAACAGG
rnacentral:rRNA from 1 species